rnacentral:rRNA from 1 species
GAUGAACGCUGGCGGCGUGCUUAACACAUGCAAGUCGAACGAUGAAGCCCAGCUUGCUGGGUGGAUUAGUGGCGAACGGGUGAGUAACACGUGAGUAACCUGCCCUUAACUCUGGGAUAAGCCUGGGAAACUGGGUCUAAUACCGGAUAGGAGCGUCCACCGCAUGGUGGGUGUUGGAAAGAUUUAUCGGUUUUGGAUGGACUCGCGGCCUAUCAGCUUGUUGGUGAGGUAAUGGCUCACCAAGGCGACGACGGGUAGCCGGCCUGAGAGGGUGACCGGCCACACUGGGACUGAGACACGGCCCAGACUCCUACGGGAGGCAGCAGUGGGGAAUAUUACACAAUGGGCGAAAGCCUGAUGCAGCGACGCCGCGUGAGGGAUGACGGCCUUCGGGUGGUAAACCUCUUUCAGUAGGGAAGAAGCGAAAGUGACGGUACCUGCAGAAGAAGCACCGGCUAACUACGU